UUCCAUGACCAAAUUUUGUAUCUUCUUUGUUUUCGAGCUCAUGGAAAGUAGAGAUGGAGAAAUACCACCUUAACUUUUCUUUUCUCCGCUCUGAACUCAAUGUCAAUAGUCAGGAGGAAACCGUUCAUCCAGGGCAGAGGGAACGUAGGGCAAGCAGCUGAUGAAGAAAUGUGUGUAUGUUUGCCUCAAGGACGUGUGUAAAGCUCAACAAUUUCAUCUUCUACACUGAAUAAAAUGCUCAGGAGACUUCUCA